GACGUUGAAAACACACGUCCACUGUACCCUUCCUUACUCUCCUGUAAACCUCAACGCACUUAACAGAGUCCAUCCUUUCAGCAAUACUCCGGAGAUCAUUGAUUUCUUCUACAGAUGGUACAAUAUCAUAGUCUAAAAAAUCAUCUUUUGUGACGAACCUAAACUGAUACCAUUUUUUUAAAAAAAAAAAAAAAAAUUUAAAAAAAAAUUGGCAUGACCUACCCUAAAAAGGGGUCUACAACUACCUGUUCAAAUAAAAAAAACGCAAUGGCCCUUCCUGACCUCUCAAGACAUAUUCAACCUGUCCCAACACACAAUACAAAUCAUACAUUCCAACAUCCCAUUCAUCCGUUCAUUAUACCUCAACAUGGUUCAUUUCUGUAAUGUUUGAGUUUUCUUAUACAUAUAUGUGUGUAUGUGGUGUUAAUUAGAAAUAAAAGAUAAAGGGAAAAUAAAAUAAAAUAAAAUAAAUAAAACAAAAUAGUGGGACCCACACCACCUAAAAAGGGGUUAGAGACCACCAUUGUCUCUCAUUUCUCUCACUCUUUCGCAGCUCUCUGUUUCCCUCUUGUUCUUCCUUUUUCUUUUUCUUUUUUUCUUUUACAAGCUUCAAUCCAAGAUCUCUCCCUCAAUACUUAGAAUUUUUAAGUGCCGUUUGCGGCAAAUUGAAGACCACAACGAAAUCUUUAAAUUGAUCGGAGUAAUUUGGUGUUUGGUGCACUCUAGGAGAGUUGGGAUCUAGGGCACAAAAUUUAGGGGUUUUCUCCUCCUUUGAGGAAACGGAAAAAAAGUUGCGGAUGACAUUCCACCACAAGCUUAAAUUGGAUUAGAAGACCUUUUGUUAUUUUUGUAUCUAAGUUCCACUAUUUUUUUGUAGGACUUAGCAUAAUAUAUUUUGUACGAAGACUUAUGAACUUUUAAUAUUUUAAUUAUCCCUAUGGGCUUGUAAAGUAUGGACAUUUGAUUUUAAUUCUUGUAUUUUGGGACUGUAAUUAUAAUACCUGGAAUAUAUAGUUUGUGGUUGUACCACCAUGGAGUGUAUUAUAUGGUAUUUGUGUUGGGAUAGGUUUAAAAUGCUUUUAAAUAGGUUGUUGUAGAACGAUUUUUAGUGGAGAUCAUGCCAAUUUUUUUUUUUUAAUUUUGGCAUCAUUUAGGGUCGUUACAAUUUCAUAGUGGAACAUCCACAUACCAUUUAAUCCAAAUUAUCAUAAUUAGUCCCAAAAUAUAUGGUUAAGAUCUAAAGUACAUGUCUUACAACGUUUGGACAACUUAUACUAAAGUUACAGUCCAUAAUUAUAAUUACAAUAACAAGGGUCUAAAAACCUCUAUACCAAAUAUAACAAACUAAGAUUUUACAAAAUUAUGAGACUUAGUAAAAAAAAAAAAAAAAAAAAAA